rnacentral:misc_RNA from 1 species
UUUCCGUAGGUGAACCUGCGGAAGGAUCAUUCAUAAUAAGUGUUUUAUGGCACUUUUUUAAAUACCUAUCCACCUUGUGUCCAAUGUCAGGGUUGGUCUCUUUUUAUCAGCCCCAAACACCAACUAUUAUCUCAACUCUUUGUCUGAAAAAUAUUAUGAAUAAAAAAAUUCAAAAUACAACUUUCAACAACGGAUCUCUUGGCUCUC